rnacentral:rRNA from 1 species
GCUACGGGAGGCAGCAGUGGGGGAUAUUGGACCAUGGGGGAAACCCUGAUCCAGCGACGCCGCGUGAGUGAAGAAGUAUUUCGGUCUGUAAAGCUCUAUCAGCAGGGAAGAAAGAAAUGACGGUACCUGAGUAAGAAGCCCCGGCUAACUACGUGCCAGCAGCCGCGGUAAUACGUAGGGGGCAAGCGUUAUCCGGAAUUACUGGGUGUAAAGGGAGCGUAGACGGUAAUGCAUGUCUGGAGUGAAAGGCGGGGGCUCAACCCCCGGACUGCUCUGGAAACUGUGUAACUGGUGUGCAGGAGAGGCAGGCGGAAUUCCUAGUGUAGCGGUGAAAUGCGUAGAUAUUAGGAGGAACACCAGUGGCGAAGGCGGCCUGCUGGACUGUAACUGACGUUGAGGCUCGAAAGCGUGGGGAGCAAACAGGAUUAGAUACCCCAGUAGUC